CUGGUUUCCGGGAGCCGGGAGUGGAAGCCCACGCCUGCCUCGCGCGGUGUUUGUGAAGUCGGAAAACUCUUAGGUGGGCCCUGGAAAUCUUUCUGAUUCCUCGAACAAAUUGGCUGGAGAGGCAGCUCCGGGCUCAGAGGCCAGCCUGAGGUCAGAGACUCAAGCUUCAGUCCUGGUCCCACCACGGCAACUUGAGGCAAGUUCUUUGGCUUCUCUGAGCUUUGGUCUCCUCAACUGCAGCAGCAAGAGCCAGGAACUUCCCACCCCGUGUCCACCAUGUGGUUGGCGACACUUCUCACUUAGCAGAUCUUGCCAUCUGAAUCCUGUCGUUUCUGGGGAAUUUGCUGAUGCAGGAAUCUUCAUUUCUGAAACCUGCUUCCUGCUUUCCCCAAGCCUGACCCACAACUUGUAUAGACAAAGGGACAUUCCCAGGCUGCCUGAGAUGGCAAGGAGAGCCCUCUACUUCACCUACUUCAGGCUAGGCUUGACAUCUCAUAUCCCCAGUGUCCCUUCACACACGCCCCCAUCUCUCCCAUGAAAACAGACUGGAUCAGCUGGCAUGCAACACAAAAUCCAGAACUGUCUCCUGCGCCUUCAUCUUCUCCCCAGAAAGCAGCUGGUGCUAACACGGGAACAUGAGUGCUAACAUGCUCUGGAGCCUUCCAACAUCUGGGAUGGAGAGUCAGGGCCAGGACCUUGCAGGGUGGUGAACUUGAAGCUGUCCUGCUAGCUCAAAGACUGUUGGGACCACAGAUUCAACUACCAAAAACUCUGAGAGAGAAGCCCAGAGGGCUAUCCUAAAAAGGAGAUGACUACGAUAACGUAGCCCACCAUAAGAGCCUCUGGACAGGUCUCCGUCUCGUCAGGAGCUCACCCAUUGUUGCCCAUUUUUACUACUAAGCCGGAGCUUCCUCUAGCCCACGCUACCUCUUCCUGUCUCUGCAGCAGGCAAACCCUGUCAUCUCCAGGUUUCUCUUCAUCAUUCCCAUCCAGUUUUCACCCGUAGCAUCUGGGACGGUUAAUCAGUGUCAACUGACUAAAUUUAGAAUCAUCAUGAAAACACAACUUGUAGGUGUAUCUGAAGAAGGAAGAUCCACCUUGAAUUGGGCAGCAGCCACCCAUGGGCUGAAGUCCCACACGCACCGGAAGUGGAAAGAUGGAGAGAAUAAGCUAAGCACAGCGAUCAUUCUCUCCUUCCUGAUGGCAGAUGCAAGAGGACCGGAAGCCUCACACUCCUGCCGCCAUGCCUUCCCCGCCAGGAUGGACUGCACCUAUAAACCCGUGAGCCAAAAUAAGUCCUUCCUCCCUUAAGUGGCUCUCCUCAGGUAUUUUAUUAUAAACAAGAUAAAAAACGAACACAGCUUCUCAUUGACCUCUUUCACUGCUGGGUUUUUGCUGUUGCUGCUGUUGGCUUUGUUUUCUGUC
ensembl:lincRNA predicted gene 12474